UNGGAGAGGAAAGUGGAAUUCCUAGUGUAGCGGUGAAAUGCGUAGAUAUUAGGAAGAACACCNGUGGCGAAGGCGACUUUCUGGACGAAAACUGACGCUGAGGCGCGAAAGCCAGGGGAGCGAACGGGAUUAGAUACCCCGGUAGUCCUGGCCGUAAACGAUGGGUACUAGGUGUAGGAGGUAUCGACCCCUUCUGUGCCGGAGUUAACGCAAUAAGUACCCCGCCUGGGAGUACGACCGCAAGGUCGAAACUCAAAGGAAUUGACGGGGGCCCGCACAAGCGGUGGAGUAUGUGGUUUAAUUCGACGCAACGCGAAGAACCUUACCAGGUCUUGACAUUGAUGGACAGAACCAGAGAUGGCUCCUCUUCUUCGGAAGCCAGAAAACAGGUGGUGCACGGUUGUCGUCAGCUCGUGUCGUGAGAUGUUGGGUUAAGUCCCGCAACGAGCGCGACCCCUAUCUUAUGUUGCCAGCACUUCGGGUGGGAACUCAUGAGAGACUGCCGCAGACAAUGCGGAGGAAGGCGGGGAUGACGUCAAAUCAUCAUGCCCCUUAUGACCUGGGCUACACACGUACUACAAUGGGAGUUAAUAGACGGAAGCGAGAUCGCGAGAUGGAGCAAACCCGAGAAACACUCUCUCAGUUCGGAUCGUAGGCUGCAACUCGCCUACGUGAAGUCGGAAUCGCUAGUAAUCGCAGGUCAGCAUACUGCGGUGAAUACGUUCCCGGGCCUUGUACACACCGCCCGUCACACCACGAAAGUCGGAAGUGCCCAAAGCCGGUGGGGUAACCUUCGGGAGCCAACCNU
rnacentral:rRNA from 1 species